AGUUUGUACAGCAGACGGAGCGGCCGGGUGUCCGUGCGGGCCACCCUGGCGGCGACGCCUUGCUGUGGGUAGGGAAACUGAGGCGGAGGAGGGAGCCCACCGUGGGCUUUUCGUCCUGCACGCAGGUCCUAGCUACUCAGCAGCCUCGCAGUUUCUGGUUGCCCCUCCUCCCAUCCCCGGAUGCGCUUCCCAGGAUCCUAAGGAUGAGUUCAGUAUCACACCUGUGUGACCUUAGGAGAGACGAUCAACCUUUCCGUGCCUGUCAUUCUCUGUAAAAUGUGACAAAAGCACACGAUGCUGUAGGAACCCAUUCCUGCUUCUUCCCUGCGUGAGUCCCCUCCCUUCCCGCAGACCUGGCACUGCUUACAGAGCUUGCCAGGCACAGGCAGAUCUUGCCCGGUGGCUGAGGCAAGCCGGUUGCCUGCUUUCUUCAUCUGGAUCUUAUGGAAGGCUACGAGGAAUGAGGAAUGAAAAGGUGGCAUGUGAGUUUACCUGCUGAGCAAGAGAGAGGAGCAGAGGACAAGCAGGAGCAGAAGCUCUGUGGCAUCAGCUUUGGAUUAGUGACUUGCUUUGAUCAACUGGUUAUUUGCAGAUGUGAAACCAAGAGACUUGAAAUGUGUUACAAAAUGAGGUUGUCUUCCUAUCCUCUGCCACCUCCAUGGGAAGGACAUGGCCUGGUUGGGACACUGACUCCUGAACAGCUUCUGGGCCCAGGGAAUAGGACACAUGGAGCCAAGCCAGCUGACCUGCAAACUCAUGAAUAAGGACUUACUGCUGUUCCUCACUGUUCACCCCACAGCAGUACUGAGAUGGUAUACAAGGUAGAGGUGGCUGCAGUAAGAACCAAGAGUAUCACACUGGCUCCAGGACCAAGCAGUGAGGAAGCAACGAGGCACUCCUAGAGCAGGCUUGAGAAGGAGGCCUGGGGUCUGUGUGGGUCAGAACCCUCCGUGAAAGUCACGUAUAGUGACGUAAGUGAGCACACACUCGGCAAGAGCUGGCUCCUUUGGACUCUAAAGAGAGAAGAACUCACAAAAAGAACAGUCAAUCUGUCUGUCAGGGACACUUAGGGGAAAUAGGAAGAGCCUAGAACUUGCUGAGUUGGAAAAUAAAUCUGUCAACUUCAGCCUCCAGCCAGUAGAUCAUUCUCAAAUUAAGAUAAAGCCUGGGAUAAAGAUCAAACCAAAGUCACUACCUGUUAAAAUACCACACAGGCUGAGUGCAAUGGUGCAGGCCUUUAAUCUCAGCACUGAGGGACAGAGGCAGGCUGAUUUCUGUGAGUUCAAGGCCAGUCUGCUCUAUAUAGGGAGUUCCAGACUAGUCAGAGCUACAUAGUGAGACCCUAUCUCAAAAAAAAAAAGCACUUGCUAUUCUUACAGAGGAUGGGGUUUGUUUCCCAGUGUCCACAUUGGUACCUCACAGCUGGCUGUAACUCCAGUUUCAGGGGAUCCAACAGACUCUUCUGGCCUCCAUGGGCACCUGCAUGCAUGUAGUGCACAUACAGAAAGCAGGCACAGGCACACGCACACACACAUAUGUACUUCUCAGGUGGUCAAAGGAGCUGUCAGGAAUCUCAGUGGUGUGGUCCCACAGAAGCCUGACAUGCCCAAAGUAGGAAUAAUUAGGUAAAGAGAGGCCCAAAUCAAAAGUGGCUGUGGAUAUGACUUUGGCAUAAAGAGUUACAUGAAAUUAAAUUGAGUAAAUUAAAUGUGUUUGAGCUAGGCCAGUCAGCUUUGGCUAAAGUAGAUGUACCCUUCUACUGUCCUAAGGAGGAAGCAGGCUGAAGCCCAGAGUUGAUAAAGAUGAACUCAGUGUAGGAAAUCUUCAGGAAUAUAUUCACCUUUCUCAAAGGAUGUGCUCAUGAGGUUGUCCAAAAGGAUUUCAGAAUCACCCUGAGUCAGUAAGUCCCUGAAUCCCUGGCCUCUCGUUUUUGAACAGAGUAUAAGUGGCAGUUGUCUUGUCCGUAUUUUGCUAAGUCAAGUUUUCACUGGGGGAAGAGGGUGUUGGCCACAGGGAGGGUAACGGGUGUUUAGAUCACAGGCGAUGGGUCAAGGGGACCUACAGCAGCUGUGGCACAAGUCAUGGAUCGACACUGGCUGUAUGAAGUUGGGAGAUCUUGGGUAGGUAAGUGUUUUCUCUGAGAGAGGCAUGGAUUCGGGUGUGGGAUACAGCAGACUGAAAUACUGCCACCCAUUCUUCGCCCUCGCUGUAUUCACACCCUUUGCCAUCGGGACAGUCUUCUCUGCACUAAUGAGAAGGUCCUCACCCUCGACUGAGAGCUCAGUUAUGUGCUUUAGCCAAUGGAGGUUUGCUCAUGUUGAACCUCGCAUGUGCUGGGACUGUUGCUCGCCUGCCUUCUGCCCUCUUCAGGAGAUGAACACGUCCUGGCUAGACCACUGAUCCCAGGAGGACCUGGAGUCUCAGGAGAGGAAUGGAAGACUGACAAACAUGGGAAUGUCCAUUGCUGUAUUAUGUUUGCUGUGUAGUGUUAUUGAGGCGAGAGCUAAGUCAUUGAGGGCCCCGCCUGCUUCUGGGAUGCACAGCUUAUCGUGAAUCUUCAGGCUGUUCACUCAUGAGUAACGGGGGUUGGAGGAAAUUGGUGAGUGAGGGUUUAUCUGCAGUGAAUUUCUGUGGAUGCUUUGUGUCCUUCUAAGCCCAUCUCAUUCUUUAAGAACUUCUCAGGGGCAUGAGAAUGUAGAGAAUGGGAUCUUUACCUGAAACUUCCACGGGACUGCAGCAGAGUUCUAGGACAGCCUGGCAGAGCUGUCUGAAUUCCAAAUUCAAGAAUUCCAAAGCCAUAGAAUGGCAGUCCCCACCCCAGCCUGGAGCCUUGGAAAGUGGAGGAGCUGGUCAGCUCCCACGACAGCUGGUCUAGAAGGAAGGCACUCGCGGAGCCUUCCUUCUCCAUACUCCACGUUUUAGGAGGCACUGUGCUGCUUUUCACACAGGUUAAAGGUCAUGGGGUGGGAGUGGAGCUGCAGUUGUCUUCAGAGGGCUCUGUCCUAGGGCAAACUGCCCAGCAAAAAGGCUGAGUGGAGAUGAAGGACCACCAGAUGCAGAAGCUGAGGGGGGUAGGAAGCAGCAUUGCCCAUGCCCAGAAAGAAGGUACCAGGAAGCCCCUUCCAGACAGGACAAAAAAUCAGAGCCACACCGCCCUGUGGCUUCAGUUGUUUGGAGUCCCAGAACCAGAAGAACCAGAAAGAACAGCAGUGAACAAGAUCGGGGGAGACACCGACCACGACACCUAGCUCCCCACCAAGGUUCUCCAGGGGUAGCAGGAGCCUGGCACAGCGACCUGAGAGCGGGGCAGACUGGUCUGCAGUCCUGAGACUGCAGUAGACUGGACUCUUAACAUAAAAACAAGGCUCUUCCUUCAGGUCUGCAGUAAAUCCCGCCUACCAGCAGGAGGCUGUCUCUGCAGAAAGCAGCCAGGGAUCCCAGGGUUCCAGACUUCCCCAUCAUCUGCCCAUUGGACAGUCUGUUUCUGCCACCUGUUUAGGUUUCAGUUUGCCAGUGGGAAGUUCAGCGUCAAGGCCACCUUUUCGUUCUCCACCAUUCUUUCUGUGGUGACCUAUGGGUUCCUCCCCAGCAUCCCCCCAGGCUGCCCCCUGGAACAGUUCCCAUGUUCUCCUUGUAAACAAUACAAAACGGAACGAAAACCCCAA